rnacentral:lncRNA from 1 species
AAAUCUAAUUUCCAAAACUAUGUAAUACACCAACCACUCCAUUUACGGAAUGAACUUCGUACGAACUUGAAUUGUCCAAUUCUUUGGCCAAUCGAUGUUGGAUUGAGCCAAAAACUCAGUCAACGUCAUAAUAUGGAUGGAGGAGUGAAUUGGUGUGUUUUGAGUGAAAUUCAAUCGCUAAAACUAUGCAAUACACCACCCACUCCAUUUAAGGAAAGAACUUCAUACGAACUUGAAUUUUCCAAUUUCGUGGUUCAAUCUAU